CGAGGUGAAAGUUAGCAUCCUUGAUUUAACAACAACAACAACAAAAGGUUAAAAGUAUGAAAACGUGUGAAAGGUGACCACUGGAAUCGUACCCUGCGAGGAAACGCUGCAGGAAAAGAAACUUUGAGAUGGAGGCAGAUCCCCUUUCCACCUAAGGGUUAUAUCAUUACACGGAUAAUUAGGCCAGGUCAGCCGGAGAAGGAAAAAAACAAGACUGCAAUUCCAAUAAAUUCACAAGGACCUGUGGCUGGAUCAUACAGAAGCAUCUGACACCAGAGAUAUACAUGAGGUGUCCUGUGGUGUUGGUGCCACCAUGCAGCAGCAGGUGCCAUAGUCACAUAGAUGCUUGUCGGGACCUCUUGGAGUCACAUUUAAAUGCACUGGGUAC